rnacentral:rRNA from 1 species
GACGAACGCUGGCGGCGUGCCUAAUACAUGCAAGUCGAACGCAGUGGGGACGGGUGAGUAACACGUGGGUAACCUCCCAUCAGAGGGGAUAAAACUUGGAAACAGGUGCUAAACCGACACAGGUGGAUGGACCCGGUGUGCAUUAGCUAGUGGGUGAGGUAACGGCUAACCAAGGCAACGAUGCGUAGCGGGCCUUAGAGUGUGAGCGGCCACACUGGGACUGAGACACGGCCCAGACUCCUACGGUAGGCCGCAGUAGGGAAUUUUCGGCAAUGGACGAAAGUCUGACCGAGCAACGCCGCGUGAGUGAAGAAGGUUUUCGGAUCGUAAAACUCUGUUGUUAGAGAAGCGGUAUCUAACCAGAAAGCCACGGCUAACUACGUGCCAGCCGCCGCGGUAAUUC